GUGCUCGCUUUGGCAGCAUAUAUACUAAAAUUGGAACGAUACAGAGAGAUUAGCAUGGCCCCUGUGCAAGGAUGACACACAAAUUUGUGAAGUGUUCCAUAUUUUU
rnacentral:snRNA from 1 species